UACAGAGGUCGUCAAGCGUUGUUCGGAUUCAUUGGGCGUAAAGGGUGCGUAGGCGGUCGCGGUAAGAUCGGGUGGUGAAAUCUCGGAGCUUAACUUCGAAACUGACAUUCGAUACUGCCGUGCUUGAGGACUGGAGAGGAGACUGGAAUUUACGGUGUAGCGGUGAAAUGCGUAGAUAUCGAUAAGGAAGACCAGUGGCGAAGGCGGGUCUCUGGACAGUUCCUGACGCUGGAGGCAACGGAAGGCCCAGGGGGAGCAAACGGG
rnacentral:rRNA from 1 species